rnacentral:tRNA from 1 species
GCCACGGUGGUCUAGCGGUUGGUACGCUGGCCUUGUAAUCCUGGAGUCUCGGGUUCGAUUCCCGGCGGUGCCC